CUUUUUGAGUAUAAUUUAAGGUUUAGUCUGCCCACUGUAAAUUAAAGGGCCGCGGUAUUUUGACCGUGCAAAGGUAGCAUAAUCAUUAGUUUUUUAAUUGAAAGCUGGAAUGAAUGGCUGGAUGAAAAAUUAACUGUCUCAGUUUAAUUUAAUUAGAAUUUUAUUUUUAGAUUAAAAAGUCUAAAUUUAAUUGAAAGACGAGAAGACCCUAUAGAGUUUUAUAGUUUAUAAAGUAUUUUGAAUUGGUAAAUAUAUAAUUAUAAAUAUAAAUUAUUUGGUUGGGGUGACUGAAAAAUUUAAAUAACUUUUUUUGAUUUAUGACAUUGAUUUAUGACAAAAUGAUCCAAAUUUAUUGAUUAAAAGAAAAAAUUACCUUAGGGAUAACAGCGUAAUCACUCUUUAGAGUUCUUAUCGGAAGAGUGGCUUGCGACCUCGAUGUUGGAUUAAAAUAAGCUUUAGGUGUAGUGGCUUGA
rnacentral:rRNA from 1 species